ACCCAGACUCCUACGGGAGGCAGCAGUGGGGAAUAUUGCACAAUGGGGGAAACUCUGAUGCAGCGACGCCGCGUGAGUGAAGAAGUAUUUCGGUAUGUAAAGCUCUAUCAGCAGGGAAGAAAUAGCGACCUUUGGGUCGCCAGACGGUACCUGAUUAAGAAGCCCCGGCUAACUACGUGCCAGCAGCCGCGGUAAUACGUAGGGGGCAAGCGUUAUCCGGAUUUACUGGGUGUAAAGGGGGCGUAGACGGCGAUGCAAGUCUGAAGUGAAAGGCGGGGGCCCAACCCCCGGACUGCUUUGGAAACUGUAUGGCCGGAGUGCAGGAGAGGUAAGUGGAAUUCCUAGUGUAGCGGUGAAAUGCGUAGAUAUUAGGAGGAACACCAGUGGCGAAGGCGGCUUACUGGACUGUAACUGACGUUGAGGCUCGAAAGCGUGGGGAGCAAACAGGAUUAGAUACCCCCGUA
rnacentral:rRNA from 1 species